rnacentral:rRNA from 1 species
GACGAACGCUGGCGGCGCGCCUAACACAUGCAAGUCGAACGGAGCUUAGAGAGCUUGCUUUUUAAGCUUAGUGGCGAACGGGUGAGUAACGCGUGAGUAACCUGCCCUAGAGUGGGGGACAACAGUUGGAAACGACUGCUAAUACCGCAUAAGCCCACGGUGCCGCAUGGCACUGAGGGAAAAGGAUUUAUUCGCUUUAGGAUGGACUCGCGUCCAAUUAGCUAGUUGGUGAGGUAACGGCCCACCAAGGCGACGAUUGGUAGCCGGACUGAGAGGUUGAACGGCCACAUUGGGACUGAGACACGGCCCAGACUCCUACGGGAGGCAGCAGUGGGGGAUAUUGCACAAUGGGGGAAACCCUGAUGCAGCGACGCCGCGUGGAGGAAGAAGGUUUUCGGAUUGUAAACUCCUGUCGUUAGGGACGAUAAUGACGGUACCUAACAAGAAAGCACCGGCUAACUACGUGCCAGCAGCCGCGGUAAAACGUAGGGUGCAAGCGUUGUCCGGAAUUACUGGGUGUAAAGGGAGCGCAGGCGGGAAGACAAGUUGGAAGUGAAAACCAUGGGCUCAACCCAUGAAUUGCUUUCAAAACUGUUUUUCUUGAGUAGUGCAGAGGUAGAUGGAAUUCCCGGUGUAGCGGUGGAAUGCGUAGAUAUCGGGAGGAACACCAGUGGCGAAGGCGGUCUACUGGGCACCAACUGACGCUGAGGCUCGAAAGCAUGGGUAGCAAACAGGAUUAGAUACCCUGGUAGUCCAUGCCGUAAACGAUGAUUACUAGGUGUUGGGGGAUUGACCCCCUCAGUGCCGCAGUAACACAAUAAGUAAUCCACCUGGGGAGUACGACCGCAAGGUUGAAACUCAAAGGAAUUGACGGGGGCCCGCACAAGCAGUGGAGUAUGUGGUUUAAUUCGAAGCAACGCGAAGAACCUUACCAGGUCUUGACAUCCGAUGCAUAGCACAGAGAUGUGUGAAAUCCUUCGGGACAUCGAGACAGGUGGUGCAUGGUUGUCGUCAGCUCGUGUCGUGAGAUGUUGGGUUAAGUCCCGCAACGAGCGCAACCCUUAUUGCCAGUUACUACGUUAAGAGGACUCUGGCGAGACUGCCGUUGACAAAACGGAGGAAGGUGGGGAUGACGUCAAAUCAUCAUGCCCUUUAUGACCUGGGCUACACACGUACUACAAUGGCGUUAAACAAAGAGAAGCAAGACCGCGAGGUGGAGCAAAACUCAAAAACAACGUCUCAGUUCAGAUUGCAGGCUGCAACUCGCCUGCAUGAAGUCGGAAUUGCUAGUAAUCGCGGAUCAGCAUGCCGCGGUGAAUACGUUCCCGGGCCUUGUACA